UGGAGGGUUGAGAAGGUGACGCAGCUGACCAUGUGCUGCUGUGACCGGUUAGAACCUCCCACAGCAACUGUCAAAGCGCUUCUCGACAUGGU